rnacentral:rRNA from 1 species
UACAGAGGUCUCAAGCGUUGUUCGGAUUCAUUGGGCGUAAAGGGUGCGUAGGCGGCGCGGUAAGUCGGGGUGUGAAAUCUUGGAGCUUAACUCCGAAACUGCAUUCGAUACUGCCGUGCUUGAGGACUGGAGAGGAGACUGGAAUUUACGGUGUAGCGGUGAAAUGCGUAGAUAUCAAGUGGAACACCAGUGGCGAAGGCGAGUCCCUGGACAAAACCUGACACUGAGGCACGAAAGCUAGGGGAGCAAACAGG